rnacentral:rRNA from 1 species
AGUUUGAUCCUGGCUCAGAGCGAACGCUGGCGGCAGGCUUAACACAUGCAAGUCGAGCGGGCGUAGCAAUACGUCAGCGGCAGACGGGUGAGUAACGCGUGGGAACGUACCUUUUGGUUCGGAACAACACAGGGAAACUUGUGCUAAUACCGGAUAAGCCCUUACGGGGAAAGAUUUAUCGCCGAAAGAUCGGCCCGCGUCUGAUUAGCUAGUUGGUGAGGUAAUGGCUCACCAAGGCGACGAUCAGUAGCUGGUCUGAGAGGAUGAUCAGCCACAUUGGGACUGAGACACGGCCCAAACUCCUACGGGAGGCAGCAGUGGGGAAUAUUGGACAAUGGGGGCAACCCUGAUCCAGCCAUGCCGCGUGAGUGAUGAAGGCCCU